CGCUGGCGGCACGCCUAACACAUGCAAGUCGAACGGAGAUUGAGAGCUUGCUCUUAAAUCUUAGUGGCGGACGGGUGAGUAACACGUGAGCAACCUGCCUCUGAGAGAGGGAUAGCUUCUGGAAACGGAUGGUAAUACCUCAUAACAUUACAUGACCGCAUGAUCGUGUAAUCAAAGAUUUAUCACUCAGAGAUGGGCUCGCGUCUGAUUAGCUAGUUGGUGAGGUAACGGCCCACCAAGGCGACGAUCAGUAGCCGGACUGAGAGGUUGAACGGCCACAUUGGGACUGAGACACGGCCCAGACUCCUACGGGAGGCAGCAGUGAGGGAUAUUGCACAAUGGAGGAAACUCUGAAUGCAGCGAUGCCGCGUGGAGGAAGAAGGUUUUCGGAUUGUAAACUCCUGUUUCGAGGGACGAUAAUGACGGUACCUCGGGAGGAAGCUCCGGCUAACUACGUGCCAGCCGCUGC
rnacentral:rRNA from 1 species